CCAGCGGGUGUUUAAUGCAGAUAACAUAACACGGCCGAUUCGUCAGUGUUUUUAAAGGGGACAGCUAAGUGGACGGCGUGGGAGAAGAAGGAAAGAGAAACCAGAAGAAAGCAGCACCGUUUUAUAACGUCUUUACGGUGUGUUAGCGUUAACAAUGCUGACGUCAAGCUAGCUGCCCUACCCAAUGACAGCUGGAGCAGUGGGCCACUACAACACGAUGCCAGGGUAUUAAUUUCACUUCUAAGGCCAGCAUUUCACUUCCAGGUCUGAGGCUAAAGCGCCUCAGCCUUUUUAACUGGGAUAAUUUGACAGCAGCCCCCUGCCUUCCUCUGACAGCUUUGAGGAGCUGGGGCUCAGCACCUGCGUCCACCCAAGCAUUAAACCUCAGAUCUUGAACUCUCCUCACAAAUGAACUGUCAGAUCAUUACUGCGCGUGAUGCAAUAUAAUCUGUCUCAGAAUUAGCAUUUGGCCAAGUCCACACAGGGUUUUUUUUCCUUCCGUGCCUCUCUACGUACAUCAA